AGCAGCCGCGGUAAUUCCAGCUCCAAUAGCGUAUAUUAAAGUUGUUGCAGUUAAAAAGCUCGUAGUUGAAUUUCGGAAUCUGUCCGUCGGUCGGGCUUCACUGUCCGUACUGGCGUGGUGGGUUCUUACCUUCUGAAUAACCAGCAUGCCAUUCACUUGGUGCGCUGGGGAAGCAGGACUAUUACCUUGAAAAAAUUAGAGUGCUCAAAGCAGGCCAGUGCCUGAAUACAUUAGCAUGGAAUAAUAAAAUAGGACGGCAUGGUUCUAUUUUGUUGGUUUCUAGGAUCACCGUAAUGAUUAAUAGGGAUAGUUGGGGGCAUUAGUAUUCAAUUGUCAGAGGUGAAAUUCUUGGAUUUAUUGAAGACUAACUUCUGCGAAAGCAUUUGCCAAGGAUGUUUUCAUUAAUCAAGAACGAAAGUUAGGGGAUCGAAGACGAUCAGAUACCGUCGUAGUCUUAACCAUAAACUAUGCCGACUAGGGAUCGGACGAUGUUAAUUUUUAAUGACUCGUUCGGCG
rnacentral:rRNA from 1 species